UACAGAGGUCUCAAGCGUUGUUCGGAUUCAUUGGGCGUAAAGGGUGCGUAGGCGGCGCGGUAAGUCGGGGUGUGAAAUUUCGAGGCUUAACUUCGAAACUGCAUUCGAUACUGCCGUGCUUGAGGACUGGAGAGGAGACUGGAAUUUACGGUGUAGCGGUGAAAUGCGUAGAUAUCCUCAGGAACACCCGUGGCGAAAGCGGCUCACUGGGGUCUCUUCUGACGCUGAGGCACGAAAGCUAGGGGAGCAAACGGG
rnacentral:rRNA from 1 species